GAGGAUGGCGCUUGCGGCAACAGCAGUGUGGGACGACUAAGCUUGCAGCGGACCACGGCGGUUUGCUCAGCUUGGCUAGGCUAUCCGGUGCGGUACAUCGUCGGAACACGGCGCAAGCGACUUCUUUAGCUUACUGACAUGACGGAGAAUGCUAUGUGCGAGGGUGAAGCAACGAGGCGAGGUCGACACACUGCGGCGGCCUGGCUGAUCAAUGAAGAUCUUGAGGAGCGGUGAUAUCGCUCAAACAUUCUGACGACAAAAGAAAUGGAUCCGUGACGUGGAGUACUGCGGUGGGGGUGGCGAGGCCCCCGUGCGAUGUCUCUUCGAGGUGACGAGAGAGAGGCAGAGUUCAAUGGCGGAUGUGGUGAGGUCCCGCGCGUUGUGUUAUCGUGGCGGCGACUACGAGGCAACCUGCGAGAGGUCCGGAUUCGGUGUUAUCACCCUGUCAGGUGGAGAGUGAUGUUAUAGUGGCACUACGGCGGAAGGUCCUGAAUGGCGGUGGCCUUCUUGGUGCGGUGCAGUCUGCUUCUCAAUUCAACGUCAACGCUAGGUUAUGCUAGGAGGUUUCGAUGACUUCUUGACCGUGUGUAUGGUGGUAGGGACUGUGGUAAGACUUCAGUUCUGUUGCUAAGGUGUUGAGAAGAGUUGAGUUCGGCGCGUGUUGAUAUCCCAAUUCAACCAACCGAUGUGUGGUAGAGUUGAUUUGUGUGUGAGGGCGUGGUGCGGUAUGCGUUGAUGACUCUAACCUGUCGGUGUUUGCGUUUUUUCAUUUUUUAUGUUUUCGUCCGGUCUACCUUUGGCAGCUCUCCUGCCGGAUUAGUUUUGAAAAAAAAACCAAUUCGAGGAGUUCAUGAAGG
rnacentral:lncRNA from 1 species